UGGACUUCAGCAAUACCAGGGGCAGAGUA
rnacentral:sRNA from 1 species